CCUACGGGUGGCAGCAGUGAGGAAUAUUGGACAAUGGACGAGAGUCUGAACCAGCCAAGCAGCGUGAAGGAUGACUGCCCUAGGGGUUGUAAACUUCUUUUAUAUGGAAGUAAAAUGUUGCACGUGAGGGAUUUUGUAUGUACCAUAUGAAUAUGGAUCGUCUAACUCCGUGCCAGCAGCCGCGGUAAUACGGAGGAUCCGAGCGUUAUCCGGAUUUAUUGGGUUUAAAGGGAGCGUAGGUGGAUUGUUAAGUCAGUUGUGAAAGUUUGCGGCUCAACCGGAGAAUUGCAGUAGAAACUGGCAGUCUUGAGUACAGUAGAGGUGGGCGGAAUUCGAGGUGUAGCGGUGGAAUGCUUAGAUAUAACGAAGAACUCCGAUUGCGAAGGCAGUUCACUGGACUGCAACUGACACUGAGGCUCGAAAGUGUGGGUAGCAAACAGGAUUAGAUACCCGUGUAGUC
rnacentral:rRNA from 1 species